UACGGGGGGGGGAAGCGUUGUUCGGAAUUACUGGGCGUAAAGGGCUCGUAGGCGGCCAGCUAAGUCAUACGUGAAAUCCCUCAGCUUAACUGGGGAACUGCGUGUGAUACUGGAUGGCUUGGAUUUGGGAGAGGGAUGCGGAAUUCCAGGUGUAGCGGUGAAAUGCGUAGAUAUCUGGAGGAACACCGGUGGCGAAGGCGGCAUCCUGGACCAAUAUUGACGCUGAGGAGCGAAAGCCAGGGGAGCAAACGGG
rnacentral:rRNA from 1 species